rnacentral:rRNA from 1 species
CACGUAGGGGACGAGCGUUGUCCGGAUUCAUUGGGCGUAAAGCGCGCGUAGGCGGCUCGGAAAGUCGGUCGUGAAAUGCCGGGGCUCAACCCCGGGACUGCGUCCGAUACUCUCGAGCUGGAGGCAGGUAGGGGAGAUCGGAAUUCCUGGUGUAGCGGUGAAAUGCGCAGAUAUCAGGAAGAACACCCGUGGCGAAGGCGGUUCUCUGGGACGGUACUGACGCUGAGACGCGAAAGCGUGGGGAGCGAACAGG